GAGACAGACAGACAGAGGCAGAGAGAAAAAGCGUGUGAGAUAGAGACAGAGAAAGACACAAAGAGAGGGUGACAGUAAAAGAGAGAGACAGAAAGAAAGAGAGCCAGUGAGAGACACAAAGAGAGAAAGCGAGCAAAAGAGGGAGAAAGUGAAAGAGAAAGGGAGAAAGACAGACAGACAGUGAGAGAGAUGAGUGAAAGACAGAGAGAGAGACAGACAGACAGACAGAGAGAAAGAGAAAGAAAGAGAGAGAUAAGAGGAGAGAAAGAGAGAGAGAAGGAAAAACAGAAUGAACUUUAAGAUCCCAUGCUGACACUUUUACUGUGAAAUCAUUACAGACUUUUCUAGAAAAUCAAUUUUCUUCAGAUUGAUUCUUUAAACUCUUUAACCCCUACUCACACACCGGAGGGCCUGCAGUAACACGGAGCUGCCAUAGAGGGGCAACAUUUCCCACCACAUCUGACUGCUGUCCAUCUCUCUCUCUCUCCCUCUCUCACCCUAAAGCCUGCCCGUCCUCCUUUCUCCAUGGACCCUGGAGUGUUGAACGCUCUUAAGCAGCAAAACGUUAGUUAGCGACAGACAAACAGACAGGCGUGCACACGCACGCGCACACACACACACACACACACACGCUGAAAUGUAGAAAGCCGCAGCAAAGAGCAGUCAAGCCGUGAGAAAAGAGCGUCAACAACUACCAGAGCCGUUCUACUAAACGUCUGCUUAUUAUAUUUAAACCCCUGAUUGACUGAUCACUUGCAUUGAGUAAGGAAAAACCACAUGGGGUCACGUUGUUAUAGGAAAUUAAUCAACGACGUCGGUCAUCUUCCUAUAACAACAUAUCCUAAAGUGUUUUAUUCCUCUUAUACCGCAGCAAUGUGUCAUCGAUUACAAUUUGUUAUUGUUUACGUUUAUUAUAUUAUUUUAUAAACAUAAACUUCAAGCGACAGCUUUAUCUCCGACUGUUAGAAAGCGCCAAUACUGGAGACUCCUUCCAUAAACUCUACACAAGAAAAUAAAUAAAUAAAUAAAUCACACUCAUUUAUGUCAAGCAUCAGCCGUGCUACGGAUAAGCUGUUACUAUAGAAACGGCGACGUAACAGUACGAGCGUAUUAAAAGAAACCCGUGAUCUGCGUCCGAGCUGCAGGACUGUCCGAGCUGCUGACGUGGAAAACUAAUCAACACUUUCUGACCAAUCAGAAAGGAGAAUUCAACAGCACUGUGGUGUAAAUAGGUUUAAUCUAACCGUGUUUUGAAUCCAAGUUCUUACAGUGCUACUCAUUUGGGUUUUAGAGGCGAAAAGAAAAAAAAAAAAGGAAUAAAAAUAACACCACCACAACGAUCGGUUCUAAUAAAUAAAUAAAUAAAUAAGAUGGCACAUAUUUGCCUAAUGUGCAAUAACGCUUGGAUAAAUCUGUGCUGCAGUAAGGGGUCUGCUGAAGUUUAUUUACACUGGAAGCAAAUCCUUAGCAGAAAAAAGUCUGAAAAACUCCAGAUCCAUCCAUCAGUCCAUCUGUCUACUCUUCAGUUUUUCUGCACUUUUUUAUUUAUUUAUUUAUUUUUUUAUAGUUUCCACUGCUCCUCUCGCUUUGUUCGUCAGCUUUAAAACAACUCUCCACAUGAAUUUAUAUAUGUUACGAUGUAUAUUAUAUAUAAGCACACACUAAUAGUGCUGCUGCUAGAAUAACACACAGAGAGACAGACAGAGAUACCACGCAGAGAUACCACACACACACACACAUUUAUAAUCGAAUGAACUCUUUUUGCAUUGUACGAAAUAUUCUGUGAAAGUUGUUAAAGAACUUGCACGAGGGUAAGUCGCAAGUUUACUUGUAUCAGAUUGAGUAAAAUCGACCCGCUUGUGAGAUCAGGUGCACUGCGAUACAUGAUGAAACGCUUGCAGGAUCUCGUAUUUUCUCUUCGCGACUGUCCUCACGGCUUGCGCAUGCUCCAAACGGGUCUGAAUCCAAUAGAUGUGGAAGCAAAUAAACCCAGGACCACACCAGCAGGAGCUCCAUUCACAGGCGAUGUUUAGUUUGGCCACCUGAAGGAAGCAUGAUUUACAAUGGAUCAACAUGGCCGUCCGGCCUGAAACGAGGCUCAGCCUCCGCGCCGUGCCAUCUGGGGUCACAUGGGGAUGUAAUACCUCUCUAAUGAGCGGUACAAGCUUACUGCUCACAGUCCAGCAAACACCACCUCAAAGCUGUACACACACACACACACGUUUCUGAACAGAGAGGUAACAUUCAUCCGUAUACGCACGUCUGUGUAGUCCAUGUCCUGUCAGACUGUCCGCGAAAAAUUACUCCACGAUAUACGUUUCAUACUCCACAAAACUUCUGUGACCUUGUUCGAAAAACAUUGAAAACCUUCCAUAAGCUCACACUGCAGCGUUCAACUUGAGAUUUAGGACACUACUUCCUUCGUUGUGGGAACGGAAUUGUUCGACAGUGCAGAGCUGUUGAAUUCUUCAGUCUGAUGGGAAUUCAGAAGGUGUUGAUACAUUUUCUAUAACUGCGGCUCUCGCAGGAGUUCUGAAUGCAAAUCACCACGGGUUCAUUUUAAAACCUCACGCAAGGACACGCUGACGCUCCCUAUGAGCACAUUUAUAAAUGUGUAACUUACUCGCAAAAAGAAAGAACGGCUGGUGCGGUAACAACGGUUUAUCGCUUCCGUAAAUAACUUGUUUGGUGUACGUUCCACGACAUUAAAUGCAACAAUAAACGGAUAAAAAACUUGUUCAUUAAUAAAUUAUAAACGGUAAUCUUUGAUUUCUCACUCACCACUGCUAUCAUAAACAUGUGACUAAAACGAGUUCAAUAUAUCAGCGUUGAACUUGAGAGAGAGAGCGAGAGAGUGCGAGCGAGUGAGAGAGCGAGAGAGAGAGAUUGUGAACGAGAGAGUGUGAGACAGCGAGAGAGAGAGUGUGAGAAAGAGAGAGAGUGAGCAAGCGAGUGUGAGAGAGAGAGAGAGCGAGAGAGAGCGAGUGUGAGAGAGAGAGAGAGCGAGAGACACACACACACACCUAGACGCACUUUAGAGAGUAGCCAAUCCAACUGCCAGCAUUAGGAACCAGAGCUCCGGAUUAAACCCUGCCACCAAACCUACCUCCUGUACCACUGACACACUCAAGUAUCAAUAAAAUCUAAUUAAAAAUAAGGGCUAAUUAAAUAUUACUCAUUAUAACCACAUUAUUCAUACAUCAUCUUUUAAAUAAGUAUAAAUACUUAAGAGCUAUAAAAAAACCCACAGUCACAGCAGUGCACAAUCAACAAUCUGGCAACCGUAGUUCAAGAUCAGAUACAACUCCACAGUAAUACUACAGCGAGUGUGGUAAUAAUUGAAUAUUAUAAUUAAUAAUAGGAUAUUGUGUGUGUAACAGCAUUCUUGCCCUUUCCUUCCUUUUUAAGGCUUUGUCCAGGCAGCUUUUUGUUCUGUUUUCUUAUUACUUUACUGAAGACUAUUAACUUUAUGUAAGGGAAAAUACGAAAUAAGGUAUGGAUUAGUGAAUAGGAUAAAGGUGGUUUGGGGGGCACGAUGGUCAGCAUGUCUGCCUCACACCUCCAGGGUUGGGGCUCGAUUCCUGACUCCGCCCUCGUAUACACAAAGUUAGCAUGUUCUCCCCGUGCUUCGGGGGUUUCCUCUGGGUACUCCUGUUUCCUCCCUCAGUACAAAAACAUGCGCUGUAGGCUGAUUGGCCUACAAACUCCAAACUCUCCGCAGUGUGUGCACGUGUGUGACUGUGCCCUGCUAUGCGUUGGCGCCCCGUCCAUGGUGUCCCCUGGGAUAGGCUCCACGUGACCCUGAGUAGGAUAAGCGGUACAGAAAAUGGAUGGAUGGAUGGAUGAUGGGUUUAAGAACUCUAACCCUAACCCUAGGUGUGCAUUGGCAGUAUGAUAUCCAAACUAUUUUUGAUACCUGUCCAUUCCUAACCAUUAGAUUUCCUACUUUAAAUGCCUUUAAUGCAUUUAAAUUCAACAAUAACAUUUCAUUCAGAUUGGUGAUAAUUUAUUAACCCGAGUCCUAUUACAUUUAAAAAGAAAUAAAAUAAUCGAUUAUAUAUUAUUCUUAAUCGUACAGAAUAAAAUCUCACAACUUUCCACAUGAGAUCUAGUCUCUGAUCUUUAU
ensembl:lncRNA